CAUCUCAUUUUAUUCAUAUUUUUUCCAAAUCUGAACACAGGAAGUACAAAGCUUCUAUCGUUUUUUCCCCUUUCUUAAAAGGAAACCAGUUGUACAGUUAGUGCAUUCAAUCCUAAAACGAUGAAAAAAUAGAUCUGACUAAGAAGAAGAAGAAGAAGUGCUACAUAAGGAGAUGAUGAGGUAAAUCUGUCCAGGAAGAAGAAGAAAACAAACAAAUGAAGGAUGCAGUGAGACAAACAGACAGUCCACACAUUAUUAUUAUUAUUAUCAUCAUUAUAUACACGUCAGAUGCAUAGAAUACUUUCUCAAAUCCUUUUUUUACAUAAAUACCUACAUUUUGUUUUCAAAAAGACAAAAAACUACCAGCAAGAUGAAAAGUGAAACCGGUCCAAGUGUUUCUGAGAUCAACUCGCCGCUGAGCAGGACACACUGCUGCUGAUGCAUCAUGGGAAAAGCCUCAGUGAAAAACAACUGUAAUAUACAGCAGACUUUUCUGAUCACGCCUCCAUUAUUACCAGUGUAAUUUUAAAGAUUAAGUUGGUGUUGUUCUGUAUUUUUCUUGUCGUGUGUGUGUCCUGGCUGACAUGUUCCUUCAUUACCAUGAACAUACACUGUGCAAAGAAACAUACAGAAUAUGUUCAUGUUCUCCAAAUCUCAGUCCAGGCGUAACUUCAGUUGUUUUUCAUUUGGGCUUUUCAACAAAACUUUAUAAGACGAGAAAACUCCAGGUUCCUCCAGCAGGAAGGUAAGAUUUGAAUUCACACAUUCCAAAACGUAUUUAUUGUGGAAGAAAUGUUGUAAUUUCCCUGUUUUAGUCUCAUCGACAUUGAUCCUUACUUUCCUAAAUUUCCCAGAGUGCUUUUCAAGAAAAGCCAGCGAAUAAAGACAGAAAGUGGAUGAUUCCAGCCUCGACUUUUAACUUUAUCUCUUCUGUGUCUUCUAUUUCUCUGCACUGUAGCCAUUAAUGAUUUUCUAAAAAAAAAAAAAAAAAAUCCCUGAACUGUUUUAUCCAUUAUUUACACACGUAUCUGUAUGAUUAUGAUUAGAAUUACAUUUAAUCAUUUUUAGAUCUCUGUCCUGAAAGUCAAAAACAUUUGGUAGAGAGUCGAGUUAAAAUACAAUGAAUUUCAAAUGGAAUUUGGAAUGUAAAGAACAUCACAACCUGCUGUUCAGGAGGAUUAUUCCUGUUAGCAGAAAGAAAUUAAACUUCCAUCUGAAUGUUUGCUGUUUCUUCUCUCCUGCUGGAAGAACCUUAUUUUCUUUCUUUCCCUCAGACGUGUUGUUGAGUGGAGCAGAUUUCCUGCGAGCCGGCCGCCGUCUGUUGCAGACAGACGCUCAGAAACCUUCUCACUUUAAUCGUCUCUUUUUCAGGACGCUGGUUUUCGUUUGGCACCAAAAUCCACCAUCGAGUGUUCAGUCGACAGCUGUGACCACGUCUGGACUCCUGUUGGGCUUGUUUCCUGCAGUCCAACUCCAACAGGAAGUCACAGUUUGUUUUUUUUAAUCUCCUCUUUUUAAUGUCUUUUUUCAUCGUCUUUAACAGGAGAGGUCCGACCUCCUGCUGUCUGCAUGAGCGCUGAUGCCUUCAGGGACAUCACUCGGUCCUCGGAAAGAUUAGGCAAACUAGGAAAUAAUAUCAUUAUAAAACAGUCUAGUCGUCGCUGAUGACGUCCACGUCGUCUCCACCCCCGCCCGGCUGCUGCGUGGCUGCUCUCCAGCGGUUCACGUGUUGACUGCCCUUCCUCUUCUGCUGAGCUUCAGGAGACUCUUCCUCCAACUUCUGACGCUUGUGCUUCGUCCUGCGGUUCUGAAACCACACCUUCACCUGCAGCGAGACAGACAGCUCAUAAAUACUUGAGGAUGAUUCACUUCGUCUCACUGGCGUCAGUGCUCGUAUCGCUGUAGCGACCUGAUGACAAACACUGUCAAUCACUCCUGAGAAAAGGUGGAGGGAGCGCCGAGGAUCUGACUAACCAGCGACUCACUUCCCCCUCCAUCAUUCCUCAGAGCUGGGGCGACGCCAGCGGCUUC